AAAAGCUCGUAGUUGGAUCUCAGUUCCAGACGGGUGGUCCGCCUACCGGUGGUUACUGCCCGUUCUGAACAGCCAGCCGGUUUCUCUUGAUGAUCUUCACCGGUUGUCUCGGGUGACCGGCAAGUUUACUUUGAAAAAAUUAGAGUGCUCAAAGCAGGCGCGACGCCUGAAUAAUGGUGCAUGGAAUAAUGGAAUAGGACCUCGGUUCUAUUUUGUUGGUUUUCGGAACACGAGGUAAUGAUUAAGAGGGACAGACGGGGGCAUUCGUAUUGCGACGCUAGAGGUGAAAUUCUUGGACCGUCGCAAGACGAACUACUGCGAAAGCAUUUGCCAAGAAUGUUUCCAUUAAUCAAGAACGAAAGUUAGAGGUUCGAAGGCGAUCAGAUACCGCCCUAGUUCUAACCAUAAACGAUGCCAGCCAGCGAUCCGGCUGUGUUCCUCAAAUGACACGCCGGGCAGCUUCCGGGAAACCAAAGCUUUUGGGUUCCGGGGGAAGUAUGGUUGCAAAGCUGAAACUUAAAGGAAUUGACGGAAGGGCACCACCAGGAAUGGAGCCUGCGGCUUAAUUUGACUCAACACGGGGAAACUUACCCGGCCCGGACACAGGAAGGAUUGACAGAUUAAGAGCUCUUUCUUGAUUCUGUGGGUGGUGGUGCAUGGCCGUUCUUAGUUGGUGGAGCGAUUUGUCUGGUUAAUUCCGAUAACGAACGAGACUCUAGCCUACUAAAUAGACGUUCCGAUCAUCUCCGUCGGACGUUCUUCUUAGAGGGACAAGCGGCGUUUAGCCGCACGAGACAGAGCAAUAACAGGUCUGUGAUGCCCUUAGAUGUCCGGGGCCGCACGCGCGCUACAUUGAAGGAAUCAACGUGUGCUUUCCCGGUCCGACAGGACUGGGUAACCCGUUGAACCUCCUUCGUGCUGGGGAUAGGAACGUGCAAUUUUCCUUGAACGAGGAAUUCCCAGUAAGCACGAGUCAUCAGCUCGUGUUGAUUACGUCCCUGCCCUUUGUACACACCGCCCGUCGCUACUACCGAUUGAAUGAUUUAGUGAGGUCUUCGGACUGGCGCUCGGAGCUGCCUUCGGGCGGAGCCGGCGUGCCGGAAAGAUGACCAAACUUGAUCAUUUAGAGGAAGUAAAAGUCGUAACAAGGUUUCC
rnacentral:rRNA from 1 species